rnacentral:rRNA from 1 species
GUAGGUGGCAAGCGUUGUCCGGGAAUUAUUGGGGCGUAAAGCGCGCGCAGGUGGUUCUUUAAGUCUGGAUGUGAAAGCCCCCCGGGCUCAACCGGGGGAGGGUCAUUGGGAAACUGGGGAACUUGAGUGCAGGAGAGGAAAGCGGAAUUCCACGUGUAGCGGUGAAAUGCGUAGAUAUGUGGAGGAACACCAGUGGCGAAGGCGACUUUCUGGCCUGUAACUGACACUGAGGCGCGAAAGCGUGGGGAGCAAACAGGAUUAGAUACCCUGGUAGUCCACGCCGUAAACGAUGAGUGCUAAGUGUUGGGGGGUUUCCGCCCCUCAGUGCUGCAGCUAACGCAUUAAGCACUCCGCCUGGGGAGCACGGUCGCAAAGACUG